rnacentral:tRNA from 1 species
GGGUUGGUAGUCUAGUCAGGCUAUGACACCUCCUUCACAUGGAGGAGGUCGGCGGUUCGAAUCCGCCCCAACCCACCA